GAUGUACGAAAAAAUCUAGGUAUAACCAAAACAUCUUAUAAUACAAAAUGAAUGGAGUAAUAUUUAUGCAAGGGAACAACAUAGGAGGUGGAGAACUAAUGAACCAUAUAUUAGUUUUUUUUUCUUUCCCUUUUGCAGGGAACUAUACAUUGGUGUUCAUAAUUAGGAGAACAAGAGUACAAGACACAUUUACAUAUGCAACCCAAUAUAUGCCUGUCACUAUUCACUAGUACUGACAUAUCACUGCCAUCGUUGCUUGCUUACCCAACGAUUCUGCCCCACGAUCAGAUAGUCACAUGGCUAUGUCCUUGAAGAAAAACCAAAGCUGCACAUUGUAGUAUGUCUUCCAGCAACAACUAAACCAUGUUAGCCUGUGUCAUCUCACACGCCUGUGGUAAAGAAACAAGAAGGAUCUUAGAAAAUAUUCGUGACUGCAAUUCUAGAUGGAUCUUUCUGCACGUUGUUACUGAAAAGAAGAAGACAUAUAUGGAUAUAUGUUGGCCAGGAUAAGCCUAAAGGUGGGGAUAGUACUGAUUACGCAAAAUCACAUGGUUUUGUCCAAAAGGACAGUGCAUGCUCAGUUGGUCCAGGGGCAAUCUGAAUACACGUUAUAUGUUAUUAGACACGAGGAAAGUGAGAUACUAAUAAUAAUGCCGACAGAAGCAAGCAUUUCUGCGAUACAAAAUCUUUAGCAAUUCAAUCUGGGUGAUAUUAGUGGUUAACUAAUCAUAAACAUGGGUGAUUGUUUGGCGCACUGCCUGGAAACUGACAUGAACCAAAUGAAAAACUGUCCAGAAGUUGUAGUUUCCAGUCAGUAAUAAACAGAACUUGGAACACUGCAAUACCGCACUAUAUCAGGUUCUGCAAGUCAGAUUAUGCAACUAUGAAGUUCUUAGAUCAAGAUCAGACUAUCUAGUUCAUCGUAAUUCAAGGACUUAAGCAAGCAGCAAAGAGUGUCCAAAGUGUGUGAUUUCACAAUUUUAUAAAAAUAUAUGACCAAUACCCAGAAACUUCAUAGGAUGCUUAGAUUUUGUAUCGAUAAUCACAGCCAGGCAAGGAAAGAUGUCAAGGCUUUCUCAAAUGAACAGUAAAUAGAAACAUGAAUCACAAGAUAAAAUCACAAAACGAAAAUACAAAUCAUAGUCAGACUAGCUCAGGAUGUAGCAAGUAGCAGCUCAAAAACUGAAUAUCAAGGCCAAAUCAUGAGCCUCUAUGUUAAGAAAAGUUGUUUCACACAUCUAGCAUAGUUGAAAUUGUUGAAAAAUACAUGACUUAAAGCAUGUGUUCUAAUAGAUUUGACGCAGAGAUUCAUCCCAUCCCACUACGGACAAACAUAUAGGAUCUAAAAGCAGAGUAAUUUCAAAACCUGAAAUUUCAUUCCAACAAAUGCCUUUAGCUAAAAAGGGUUCUGUCUUCACAUGAAAAUGAAUCUUUGAAAACUGUAGCCAAUUCUCAAUGGGCAUGGUCGACCACAUCACAUAAACCAAACAAUUACAUCCUUAAUAACCCACACAUUUUGUGCACAGAUCGUUUAUGAACUAUAAAGCACAUCCAGAAUCAACCUAAAUCAUCACACAAAUCGAUUCCAGCUGAGGAAUUACUUCCAAUUGUAGAAUUACCACCACAAUCAAAUGCAGGUUAUCUGAUCGAUUCAACGCAUGGCCAGAUGGAUUAUCACAACGGCGUCACCCCACAGAUUGAAACCCGUAUUGAUUCAGAACAUUCAGCCCGAUCGAACGGGGUGCCUAAUCCCAUUCAAACGCCGAUUCGAUCGAUCGACGCGCGGCAAUACGAUUGAUUGAUCGAUCGCAAUGCUGAAAUGUUACUAGUACGAUAAACCCUAGCAAAACCAUGGCCACGGCGAUCGGCGCUGCGCGGAUGAGCAUAAUCACCCCGCGCGUCCACCGAGGCGGCGAUAUCGCUUCCGUCUGGCUUCAUUGGCAAGCAAGCAACCAACCAGCCACACGCAUACUCCGUCGAUCGAAGGAGACGGGAAGCCAAGGGGGAGGAAACAGAAUCGAGCAAACGAGGACGCGAGGCGGGGAUGCUUGCGCCGUACCUGUGGCGCUCCCCCCGCUCUCCACCGAUGAAUACCCAACGCCCUCCGGCGCCUGGAAUGGGAGACGGCAUCCGCGGCGACGGCGACGGCGACGGCGGCGCGGAAGCUGUUCGAGCAAAUGCGUGGCUGGGC
rnacentral:lncRNA from 1 species